AUUUUUUAACGGCCGCGGUAUCUUGACCGUGCAAAGGUAGCAUAAUCAAUUGUUUUAUAAUUGAAGACUGGAAUGAAUGGUUGAAUGAAAUAUUAGCUGUCUUAUUUAUAUUUAUUAGAAAUUAGCUUUUAAAUGAAGAGAUUUAAAUGUAAUUGAUAGACAAGAAGACCCUAUUGAGCUUAAAAUAAUUUUUAGGGAUAUAUUUUAUAAUGUUAAAUAAUAAAUUUUAGAUUUUUUUUGGUUGGGGCGACUGAGGAAUAGUUAAAGCUUCCUUUAAAUUAAGUAGAUUGUUUGGUUUUGAUCCAAUAUUAUUGAUUAAAAAAAAUAGUUACCAUAGGGAUAACAGCAUAAUCUUCUUUGARAGUUCAUAUCGAAAAGAGGGGUUGUGACCUCGAUGUUGGACUAAAAUAUCCUAUAAAUGUAGCUGUUUAUAAGGGUUGGUCUGUUCG
rnacentral:rRNA from 1 species